UACGUAGGUGGCAAGCGUUGUCCGGAUUUAUUGGGUUUAAAGGGUGCGUAGGCGGUCUAUUAAGUCAGUGCUGAAAUACUCCAGCUUAACUGGAGGGGUGGCAUUGAUACUGAUGGACUUGAGUACAGAUGUGGUAGGCGGAAUUGACGGUGUAGCGGUGAAAUGCAUAGAUAUCGUCAAGAACACCGAUAGCGAAGGCAGCUUACUGGGCUGUAACUGACGCUGAUGCACGAAAGUGUGGGGAUCAAACAGG
rnacentral:rRNA from 1 species